rnacentral:rRNA from 1 species
AUUGAACGCUGGCGGCAGGUCUAACACAUGCAACUCGAGCGGAUGAAGGGAGCUUGCUCCUGGAUUCAGCGGCGGACGGGUGAGUAAUGCCUAGGAAUCUGCCUGGUAGUGGGUGAUAACGUCCGGAAACGGGCGCUAAUACCGCAUACGUCCUGAGGGAGAAAGUGGGGGAUCUUCGGACCUCACGCUAUCAGAUGAGCCUAGGUCGGAUUAGCUAGUUGGUGGGGUAAAGGCCUACCAAGGCGACGAUCCGUAACUGGUCUGAGAGGAUGAUCAGUCACACUGGAACUGAGACACGGUCCAGACUCCUACGGGAGGCAGCAGUGGGGAAUAUUGGACAAUGGGCGAAAGCCUGAUCCAGCCAUGCCGCGUGUGUGAAGAAGGUCUUCGGAUUGUAAAGCACUUUAAGUUGGGAGGAAGGGCAGUAAGUUAAUACCUUGCUGUUUUGACGUUACCAACAGAAUAAGCACCGGCUAACUUCGU